rnacentral:lncRNA from 1 species
CUGAGCACCAGCCUCCGAAGGCCUGAGGGAAGGGGAUUUCAGUUCUGAGUCGAAAAGUGAAGACCACUUCUGGGCAAAAUUGUAAAGCAGAGGAAGGGAAGAAAAUGGAAGAAGCAAGAAGCAAGGAUUGAGAGGAACUGCCAUGUGCCAGAUCAGCCCCCCUUGAAGUAAGAAAUGUCAUCAGGUAUGUAUUUUAUACCUUUUUUCCCUGCUAACAAUUUAUGCCUCUUUUUUUCCCCCUUCUUCUGUUCUUUUUUUAACCUCCAAAGGGGGUCAUAUUUGUAUACAUUAUUCUCGGUCUUAACACAAUAUUCCACAGUGUGUAUGUGUAGUAUAUACAGAGUGCAUAUUCUAUAUGUGUGGGGUGGGUGGGCAUGUGUAUACACACACAAUAAUUUAUUUAACCAUUUGCCUGAUGGUGUCAUUUAGUCCUUUGUAUUUUAAUACAUUAAUUUGUUGAUUUUUCCCUAUUCCAAACAAUGACAUAGUAGACAUAUUUGUUAUAUCUCCAUGUGUUUUUUGUUAAUAUCUGUAUCAAAUACUCCAAGAAAUGGGAGUAAUCAUCAAGGGGUGUGUGUAUUUUUUAGGUGAAUUAAAGCAUUUUUAAGUACCAAAAAUUUGGCCUUUAGGUAUACACUUAUUUAUGAUUAUCUCCACAGUUAUUCUCUUUUCAGUUAGCUUUAUUGAAACAUAAUUUACUUACAGUAAAACUCACUUGUUAAAAUGUACAAUUCUGUGAGCUUUGAUGCAUAUGUAUAGUUGUGUUAUCACCCGCAGAGUUAAGAUAUAGAACUGUUCCAACCACCCCAAACUUCCCUCGUGCCCCUCUGAGUCAGCCUUGUCCCUCUCCAGAUAUCUGUCCCUCUGUUUUUGCCAUUUCCAGAAUAGCACAGAAAUGGAGUCAGACAGUGUGUAGCUUUUGGAUUCAGCAUAAUGCAUUUGAAAUUCAUCCAUCUCGUUGCUCAUAUCAGUAGUCUGUUCCUUUUUAUUGCUGAGUGAUAUGCAAUUGUAUGGUUGUACCAUAGUUUGUUUAUCUGUUCACCAGCUGAAGGGCAUUUGGUUUGUCCUCAGAUUUAGUAUUUAUGAUAAAGCUGUAAUAUUUUCCUAAAGGUUUUUGCAAAAGCAUAGGUGUUCAUUUCUCUUGGGAAAAUACCAAAAAAAAAAAAAAAA